rnacentral:tRNA from 1 species
GCGCCCGUAGCUUAGUUGGAUAAAGCGUCAGCUUGCGGAGCUGUAGACCGCACGUUCGAGUCGUGCCGGGCGCA